rnacentral:tRNA from 1 species
UAAAUAAGAAGUAAAAAAAUUACAUUUAGUUUCGACCUAAAACAGUGGUAUUUAAAUACCCUUAUUU